UUAGGAAUAUUCGUCAAUGGGGGAAACCCUGAACGAGCAAUGCCGCGUGAGUGAUGAAGGCUCUUCGAGUCGUAAAACUCUGUUGUUUGGGAAGAACGACCAAAGUAGGAAAUGACUUUGGAGUGACUGUACCAUUCGAGAAAGCCCCGGCUAACUACGUGCCAGCAGCCGCGGUAAUACGUAGGGGGCGAGCGUUAUCCGGAUUUAUUGGGCGUAAAGCGUGUGUAGGCGGUUUGUUAAGUUUAAGAUUAAAGCCCGAGGCUCAACCUCGGUUCGUCUUAAAAACUGGCAGACUUGAGUAAGAUAGAGGCAAAUGGAAUUUCUAGUGUAGCGGUAAAAUGCGUAGAUAUUAGAAGGAACACCAGUGGCGAAGGCGAUUUGCUGGGUCUUUACUGACGCU
rnacentral:rRNA from 1 species